rnacentral:lncRNA from 1 species
AUCCAGUACCCUCUUUUCUGGCCUCUGUGGGCACAGAAACAAAAUGCCCAUACAUGUAAAACGAUUGUCUUCAAAACUUCUAAGAUGCAGCCCUUCUGUAAUCUGUGGAAGAGUAGACUGGAGUAGGAGGGAAAAACAAACUCAGAGGCCAACUAGGGCUCAUCUGGAACCUUCUCUCUGCAGCACAGGGUCCUGACUAUUAUACCAGCUUCUUACCUGAGGCGUCAGCUCCCCUAUAUCUUCCAUGUGACUUAGCCCCUUGCUCUUCACAGUUCGUUCUCAGGACCAGCAACAUUGGUAUCAUCACCUUGAACUCUUUUCAAAAUUCAGAAUUUCAAGGCCAGACGAGCCCUGUAAAAAUCACAACAUACAUCACUGGGUCUUUAGUCAAGGUGUCAGACAAAGAUGGGAGGGGGGAGAAAUGAAGGAGGAGCUAAUAAAGGGAGAUGGGGUCAGGACUGGCUGCCUGGUUGGCAGAAACAUGUCACUGCUGAGACAGGAUGGCUGCUGACUGAGUUCUGAUAAGAUGAAUGGGCAGAAGGGCAUAGGCAUGAAGAGAAAUGUGUUUCUUGGCUGAAUCCAGGCUGUGUCUAUUCUGAGUGCUCGGCUCCCCAAGGGUCAGAGGCUGUGGGCUGAUUCCUGUCACCUCUAUGCGCGUCUCCUGAAAUGAGACAUCCGUGCCUCUCGGGCGAUUAGAAACGUCAGCUGUCAUUAGCAGAGUGGAAGCUUGGUCCUUUUCGGAGACUGUUGUCACACAAACUGCAAUCUGCAUAUAAAGCAAAGAGCUGAGGGAACUGUGGUUCUCCCCAGUUCAGUGAUCCAGUAAUGAGCUCCCAAGGCCUUCCUUCUGAAUCCUUGAGAGGCAGUAGCUCUGCUAAUGCUUCUACCCCGGGAGGUGGUUUCCAUACCCGGCUGUACAACAGAGCUGUAUGUCAUUUUCUCCUUAGGGCUCAAAUUGAACUUGAGAAGGUAGCCUGUGGGUAGCUAAUUAAUAGAUUUUUUUUUUUUACAAUUUUAUGUACCUCGAAUUAUUCUGACUAAAUUUUCAAGCUGAUUAAGAAUAAGACCUGAAAUCUAGCAAGCAUUGUUUCCUGUCCCCAAAGAGCUGACUGGGGGAAGCCCCAAGCAAGCUCUUGAGCUGACAUAUACCAAAAAGAAAACAGGGGAAGGCUGCAGGAUCAAGAUUCAAGACACAAAACAGGUUCCCUUUUCUCUCUCUGUCCUCUUACAAAAAACUCCCCUCUUCCUCCCUUUCCCCAGUUUUCAGCACACAAAAAUUUCUGGUUCUCAAAAAAAAAAAAAAAAUUUGGUUCUCAUUAUCAAGUGCCUGAAACAUAGAAACCCCUGCAGCAGUGGAUUAGAGAUUUCUGCUGGAGCCCGUUCACGUCUGUCCUGCCAGUAAAAAUGAAUUCAGUGGGACCUAUGCCCUGGGGCCACUCAGCCGGAAUCCUGCUCUCACUGGUAGGGCCCUUGCCAUGUGCAGCCCCCCUGCUCAAGACAAACACUGGCCACUCCUCUUGGUUAGAUGUCAGAGUUUACAUCAGAUGGAGAGUGAUGGGGGCUGGUGCUAUCUCCAUGUCCCUCUGUAAACACAUAGAUAAAAUAGAGGGAAGAAAAACUUGAGGGAUAAAAACAGGAAUGGAGAAGGCAUCUUCACGUAGAUCCUUCUUGAACCACGUGCAUCCUGUAGAUGUUCCAACAAGCCGAGAGAUGGGGACUUGAUCCAAGCAGGUAUUCCUGACGACAGAUCUAACCCCAUCCUUUUCCUGAAAUAUUACCAGUAAGUCAAACUCUAUGUUGUCUGUAGUUCAAUUUCUUUCGCUUGCCACCAAGAACGCCCUAUUCCGUUCUCUUCUAGUGCUUCGUAUCCUCGGAAACGCCCUUUGUUAAGUAGAAACGCCUCCUAAGAAACAGGCGAAGCUGACGGAAUAUAAAGGUCUAUUACUAACCACAGUGCAACUGGAGUGCUAUGAAGGGCAAAAAUGGAAAGAAGGAGGAGGAAAGACAACGGUGAAGUAGUUUAUGCCAAGAUCCAGUUGCCAUUUUUACACAGACCUUUCUUACCACUGGAAUAAAGCAUUGUAAGAUACAGGAUACCUAUGAGCAGUGAAGCUGGGAGACAGGUCCUAGAUAGAAGGCAAACAUUCUUCCUGUUUGGACACCUUGACAAAAUGUCGUAAAACUCAUUCCCAGCUUUUGUG